GGAGGCAUACACUCCGAUGAGGAUGUUUGAUGUAAAGAUUGUCCUUUGGGGCAUUUCUUCGAACAACCGUUGAGCAGAUGAUAGAUGCCUACAUUUUUCAUACAUGAACAUGAGUUUGGUGCUAAGAAACCUAUGUUCGGAUAGAGAAUUUGUUGUUACAAUGAGCUUAGUGCUCAGAAACCAAUAGAAGCCCAAACACAUAUCCUUUUCCCCAAAAAUCCAUCUAAACCCCACCUCUAAUGCCUAUAAAAAACACAUCAAAAUCCAAUCUUAUUAACCCAGCAAGCGAACUCACAUCCCAAAACCCAAUUCAAAGCAAAGAACAGCAAGAAAAACAAAUAAAUUAUAAAUCAAAAUACAAUAAUGAAAAGACUCCAAAACAAAUCCUACUUCGAACGAUCAAAAACAUCGAAAAAAUAAAGAAAAAUCAUCUAAUCUCUGAACAAAAUAUAGAAUCUGAGAAAUACCUCAUUUUCCUUAGGGCUUGGCGAUAAUGGACAGACCAAAAAGGGAUUUCUCCACUCGUCAAGAAGAGAGCGUAGCAUUGUUCGGGCUCGUCGGCCAAGCAGACGGAGGGCGAGAACAUAGGAGAAGGGAGGGAGAAGGGGACGGGGAGGUGAAGAGUUCGACGAGUGAGGAGGAUUUGAGAAGGGAGGGAGAAAGAGGCAGGAAGGUGAAGAGCUCGAGGGAGAAAGAUUUGGAUUCUUUAUUUUUUAG
rnacentral:lncRNA from 1 species